UGGCAUGUGGCUCAGUUGAUAGAGCAUUAGGUUAAUGACACAAAGUCCUAGAUUCAAAUCCCUGGGCAAGCAAG